GAAAUGGAACAGGGGCAGAAAAUAGCACACUUUUACUCUACGCAACUGUUGCUUUUUCAUGAUCUUCAGGAAUUUUACUGGGAUAAUUAUCCAAAUAAAUUGCAAGCAUUCUAUCCAAAUGAAACUUACAACCAAGUUGAAAAGACAAGAGCCAUAAAAUAAAAUAAUAGCAAAUUAAUAUAAAACCUGGAUAAAGAAUGUAAUAACUAGAUGACCAAUUUGAGAGUGCUUAUUGGGACUUAUGAAGAAAAAGAAAUUGAAAAAAGGUGGCUGCCACAUAAGGCUAGUACUUCCCUUUCAAGGAGCUCUUUCUGAGAUGAAGAGAAUUCUCAAUGUCAAGAUUUGAACAAGAAGAGAAUGGAAUACACAAUAUGGACAUCCAUAAAAAUUCAUCAGAGAGCAUUUUACUACUGAGCUGCAAAGGGAAAAACUUAAAAUGGAUAUGAAAAGUGAAGAAAGUGAUCAUAGGAGAAAACCAUUUCAGGUGUCUGAUGAUUUGUGAGCCUCAAGUGACUACUCUGUGGAAUCAUCUGUCCUUGCCUUUGAAUUAGCUUUCCCUAGGCCAUGAGUCAACAUUAGUAGUUUAUACAUCCAAAUUGAUGACAAGAGCACCUCAAAGGCAGCAGCCUCAAGGAGCAGCCAUGGCCCCAGACUUGUCGCACGGAUGCAGAAAACUUAAUGGAGGAGGCUGAGCAAAACAGAGCGUGACACUCCCAAUCAUCUGCAUGCUGGAAAUGAGGAAAUGGUUAUUGA
rnacentral:lncRNA from 1 species